GGUAGUGACAAGAAAUAACAAUACAAGGCAGUUAAAAUGCUUUGUAAUUGGAAUGAUAGAAAUUUAAACACUUUUUAAAGUAUCAAUUGGAGGGCAAGUCUGGUGCCAGCAGCCGCGGUAAUUCCAGCUCCAAUAGCGUAUAUUAAAAUUGUUGCAGUUAAAAAGCUCGUAGUUGAAUUUCUGUUAAAAAUAACCGGUCUGCUUUUAAUAAAAGUGGUAUCUUGGUGUGUUUUUAGCAAUAAUGUCCUUUGAAAUGUUUUUUACUUUAUUGUAAUAAAUAAUAUUCAGGAUUUUUACUUUGAGAAAAUUAGAGUGUUUCUAGCAGGCUAACGCUUUGAAUACUGCAGCAUGGAAUAAUAAGAUAGGAUUUUAGUUCUACAUUAUUGGUUUUAAGAACUAAAUUAAUGAUUGAUAGGGACAGUUGGGGGCAUUUGUAUUUAACUGUCAGAGGUGAAAUUCUUAGAUUUGUUAAAGACAAACUACUGCGAAAGCAUUUGCCAAAGAUGUUUUCAUUAAUCAAGAACGAAAGUUAGGGGAUCGAAGACGAUCAGAUACCGUCGUAGUCUUAACUAUAAACUAUGCCGACUAGAGAU
rnacentral:rRNA from 1 species